rnacentral:rRNA from 1 species
UACAGAGGUCGCAAGCGUUGUCCGGAUUCACUGGGCGUAAAGGGUGCGUAGGCGGCGUUGUAAGUCGGGUGUGAAAUUUCGGAGCUUAACUCCGAGACUGCAUUCGAUACUGCGGUGCUUGAGGACUGGAGAGGAGACUGGAAUUCAUGGUGUAGCAGUGAAAUGCGUAGAUAUCAGGAGGAACACCGGUGGCGAAGGCGGCUCUCUGGGCCGAUACUGACGCUGAGGAGCGAAAGCGUGGGGAGCGAACAGG